GACGAACGCUGGCGGCGUGCCUAAUACAUGCAAGUCGAACGAAAAGACGAGGAGCUUGCUCCUCUGACGUUAGCGGCGGACGGGUGAGUAACACGUGGAUAAUCUACCUAUUAGUCUGGGAUAACUUCGGGAAACUGGAGCUAAUACCGGAUAAUACAUUGAACUACUGGGUUACAUAGUAAAAGUCGGUUUUGUUGUCCCGUAUAGAUUCACCCGCGCUGAAUUUGUUAGUUGGUUAGGUAACGGCUGACCAAGGCGACGAUGCGUAGCCGGCCUGAGUGGGUGGGCGGCCACACUGGAAGUGAGACACGUACGAGACACCUACGGGAGGCAGCAGUAGGGAGUCUACCGCAAUGGACGAAAGCCUGACUGAGCAAGGCCGGGUGAGUGAUGAAGGUCUUCGGAUCGUAAGUCACUGUUAUUAGUGAAGAACAAAUGUGUAAGUAACUAUGCACGUCUUGACGUUACCUUAUCAGAAAGCCACGGCUAACUACGUG
rnacentral:rRNA from 1 species